GAAUUUACUUUUGACAAUAUGUAUACACAUACUGCCAUCAGAAAAGGGGGUUCCUUUUUGCUUCUUCUUCAUCAUCUUUACCUGAGAACACCAAGAAAAUACACCAACACUCUAAUUAUCCAUCUUCUCUUCCACACCAUUGUCCACACACCUUUGUCCACACACUAUCACAUAUACUCACCUGUACACACCGACCCGCCUGGAACCUCACUUCAACACACUAAUACACACUUCACUCUCAUUAAAAACACACACAGAAACUCACCGUCGCUCUUAGAAAAAAUACCUUCACGAACAUAGAACAUACAUGCAUACAGGGAGGAGGAGAAAAGAGAGCACAGUCGAGAGACAUAGUGGGUAGAAACAGGGAAAAUCGAUGAGAGAUUGAAGAGAUUUGGAUUAAAAAGGGGAGAAAUUCAGAGAUGUCGAGGAUAGAGUGAAAUAUUGAGAGAGCCGGGUUGCGUUGAGUUUUUCGAUGAGUAAAUCCUCAUCGGAUUUUAUGAUGCAGAUCGGGAAUCGAGUACGCCAACCAGAGAUAGGCAAAUACUGACUGAAAUCCCUUAACAACGAUCUUAUUUUGGUUCAUUCUCCGGUGUAGUUCUGGGCAGAAAUCUUAUUCGGAUUUUUUUUUUGCGUUCGUUGGUUUAAUACCGAGGUUGGAGUUUGUUCUUCGUGGGAGUGUUCUAUUCGGGAUUCUAAGUCCGGGACUUCUUAAAUCUUAUUACCAAUGAAAUCGGUUCUUCAAAGCUCCAUCUCUUAACUCUACAUUUUUAUUAUAUCAAAGUUGGUUAAUAUCGUGAUUUGUGGUGUGGUUUUGAAUAUUUUGAACAAAUGUUGAUUGUUGUUGUGUAUAUGAAUGAUUGGAAUGC